rnacentral:sRNA from 1 species
GGGGCAGGAGGUUCGACUCGAGCGAAGCGAGAGAACGUUGCGUCAGCAACGGCCCGCAGGGCGAGCCACGAAGUGGUGAGUCAUCCUCUAUCACCGACCA